UAAUCGGGUUGAGCAACAGGGAAGAGGGAGAGACUGCAGGAAACUCUGCCUCACCAAGGCCAGAGCGAGGCUGCCCAGGAGGGAGCCGUCCUCACGAGGCCCUGCGUCUGUCAGGAAGACUAGCCCUGAGCUAACAUCCACCACCAAUCCUCCUCUUUUUGCUGAGGAAGACUGGCCCUGAGAUAACAUCUGCUCCCAUCUUCCUCUACUUUAUAUGUGGGACGCCUACCACAGCAUGGCUUGCCAAGUGGUGCCGUGUCUGCACCCAGGAUCCGAACCGGCCAACCCUGGGCCGCCGGAGCGGAACGUGUGCGCUUAACCGCUGCGCCACCAGGCUGGCCCCUAAAUUUGUUUUAACUAUAAUCUGUAUAUACAAGUAAUGAAAAUAAUUCUAAAGCAUCAAAGUAACAUAACAAAACACAUCUGCUGAGGGAUUUAUAUCGAUGAAAGGAAAGAAGCAGGGUGAAGAGCAGCUUGUUUUCAAGCUGCAGAGGUUGGCAAACACUGCCUGCAGGGUUUACUUUGGUUUAGCAAAUCCCACUGCCUCCCUGGAGUGUC
rnacentral:lncRNA from 1 species